ACCUUACAUGUACACCUGUCACAGUCACAUGGGGCCUUAGACAUAAAGGGACUAUAUGCAGUGACUGGCAUUUAGCGAACUCUCUCUCCAUAAGAAACAGAACUUUUCGUGUCAACCCCACCAGACAUUGGUCUUCCAGUCAACUAGGGCAAGAACUUGCAAGGGAACACACGCACUGAAGGACCCGGGUCAAAAUUCCAGCGGAACCUCUCAAGCUGAACUGCAGAAGAGGUGAUGGGGUAGAUACUGAUACAUCCAGCGUUUCAGUGUCUUCAGAGGAUUUUACUGUCUUCAAUCCUGACUCAAAGCAGCUCGGAGCAGAGCGGGGAGCAUAGGCGCUGUACCAGAGUGUCACCAUAUGAUUGUUGGCAUGCCCAAAUGAUUCACCUAAACAGAGAAGGACUGUGGAUGACAGCAUGUGAGGUGUAUGUGUAACAAAGCCAAGGAUGACCUUGAACUUCAGAUCCACCUGCCUCCACCUCCCUAGGACUAGGAUUAGAGGUCUGCGCCACCACAGCCCGUUUAUAAGGUCCUGAGGAUGGAACCCAGGAACCCAUACAUGCCAGGCAAGCACUCUAGGACUAAGCUAUUUCCUGCAACCAUGUGUCAGUUCUGGCCAACGGAGGGUGUGCAGAGGUGAUGGGUGGGCCUGGCCCAUGGCAGCUCUCGGAUGACCUCUACCUGCGGCACUGUUUUAGCUUGUUGACCCAGAGGCGUCAGGUCAAGAGGAGCCCUGGCGCCACCGGAAGUAAUUCCAAGUGAGGGGGCAGGUCAUAAGCAACUGAGUGCGGGGAAGUGACCCACCCCCAGCCCGCCCAAGCUAUCUGCCAUGAGGUAGCUACCAUCCUUCUGACAUUCCUCUUGGCUCUCUGUCUCUCCCUUGUUCCAAUCCCUCUUGUUUCUUGCUCUCACCACCACCACCACCCCGGCCACGCCUCUGCCCUAAUCCUCUUCCUUGCUAUCCUCUCCUUGCUUUCCUUUCUCCUUUCUGGGGCCGCCAGACUUCUUAUCCCUUUAGCCACAUCGUCGAUUGCGGAGUCCAAGGCAGAGGGCUCUACAAGCAGUGACCAACCAGGUCUGUGUUUGAAUCUGCCCAGUCAGUACAACCUGGGACAACUUUGGACAUGCGUUUGGUCCCAGGCAUCUUGAAAGUUAAACAUUCACUCAGAAUUGGGCCUUAGCCAUCAGUGUUCCAGUGAUAAUCAACUAAUGAACUUGUUUCUUUCAAGCUGGUUGCUGAGUAUACUGGAGGAAAAGGGACCCAGAUGAGGACCCUGCCUUCCAGAAGCUUCCAGUCCGUUAGUCCAGGACUUCUCAGCGGGUCUGAAAGCCAACUGGUAAAACCUGCAGCCCCCUGGCUGCCUUUCCUUGCGGGCUCAGGAAGCUGCGUGUGCCAGGCAGCGUGAGGGGCUCUGGAGUCUCCGUGUAGGUGGCUGUGAGGUGGAGGGAGACGUCUGAAGCAAGGAAAAAAGAGAGAUCGCUCAUUUGUGCCUGUUGUGGAAACCCAGGAGGCUGGUGAGCCAGCCGGCAUGAAACCUGUUUAUACUGUGGCAAAACUAAAGGAUCCAUGGAAUUUCUUCUAUGACAGCUUUUAUAAAUAGACGGGCCUGAAUCUUUUCUGGGAAAUCAUGGAGCUUCUGUGGACAGGCCCUGUGGCCUCGGAAUUCUGUGGAGGCAAAGCAGUGAAAAGAUAUUUUCCUGAUCUCUGGCACGUAUAAUGUGGUUCAGGGGCUGAAAUGGUAACAGAGGCCAACGAAUAAAUGUUCUUUCAGGAA